AGAUGAUCCAGCCCUCUGAGCAUCAUCUGGAUUCACUCCAAUAGCUCCAUGUCCUUCCUGAGCUGCCCUGUCUGUGUCCUAUCCUCUGCAGCUUCUCCUGUGGGGCUGGAACAUCACAGAAAGGUGCUUGUGACCAAUGACUGGUGUCAGGAGCUCCUUCCCAGUGCUGCCAGUGCUUCUACACCCUGAUCAUGGCAUGAUUAUUGCCACAGUACAUCGACAUCAGGUUCAUUGCAGUCUGAGCUCUGGAGGGAGCUGGGAGGAGAUCCAUAACACAUCCAUCUGCCUCCACAUCAUUUCAGAGAGGAAGAAUUGUCCCUGGCACACAGCAAAGCCUUGCUAUGCAAUCAACUUAAGCCUUGAAGCAUGAAAUUUGAUUUUCCUUACCAUAGGUGUCCCCUCAGAGCAGAGUGCACAGGAUUCAGGAAUCCCUUUCACUUUGGAUGGGGAUUCCAGGUGGAUCUUCCUACAUCUGGAAACACAAACCCCUCAAAUUGUGCACUGUCCUUGGUGAAGCCACAGUUUCUGACCUGGGAAAAGGAGACACCAGGUCCUUGCAGGGAGGGAGAGGAGGCACCAAGGGUGAGCUCAAGGGACCUGCAGUGGGUCUGAGGCUUUGCAAAUCCCCAAAUUCAGACGAGCCUUGAGCCCCCCAGAGCCUCCUGCAGCCACUUGUCCCAAGGUGUCCUUUGCAGAGCAUGGCCUGCCCUUCCUGUGCUGUGCUGGACCAGGACAGUGAUCAGUGGGGCCACUGUGCAGACAGGUCACAGAGGAAGGGUAAAACCCCCACCCCCACUUUUUAAAAGGUUUAUGUUCAUUCUGGCUUUUCUAGGAGUUUUUUUCACAGCAGCAACAGCAAACCUCCACAGGGACACAGCUAAAAUCACAACAAACUGCAUAAGGGCAGAGAAGAAUGGAAGGAAACACUUGAACCAGUUUUUCUGCCAAAGAAAAUGUCCAUGUGAUGACAUCGUCUUGAUAUAGAAUCAGCACAUGAGAUUGCCUUGGAGAAGGCUGGGGAAGAUGUUUGGGCCCUUAUUAAAGCUGCAUGGACAUAAAUAAAUAUGCAGGAGUACAGCUUGUGGUCUAUGUUUCAUCCCAAUAUUACCUGACUGGGGAAGGAAUGUAAAGAGAAGCAGACUGCUUAAAAACCCUACUAAUCAGAUAAUCCUUGAACUUGGUGCUGCUCCAGACCUGCAGUCUCCCUGUCUGUAUGGAUGUAGAGGUCUAUUCUAUUCCAUGAAUGAAUGCACACUCCUACCUAAACCUGCACACAGACAUUUAAAUAUAUGUGUAUAUUACAGAUCUAAUUCCUCCCAGUGUAUGGUAAUCCUGGUUUGGUGCACUUAGCAAAACUUUGAUUUAUUGUGCUUUGAAUACUCUGGAUGACAUUCAUCCCCACGUGAAGUUCUGCUGUAGCUGAGACAAAUAUGUGUUUUGCCUGUAGGACACCUGCUAUUACACUUUCUUAAUGUGGAGAAUGUUCAUUUUUCAGGCAAAUACUUUUCAUGUAGCUCUCCAAAAUUCUUGUCAGGUUACUUUCCUGUUUCUGACAGCCUGGAGCAGAGGUGUGGUGUAUGUCUAAUGUGUAUUUACACUGACCUGGAGAAUUGGCAGUUCUUGUAAAACAUCUUGUAUUCACCUCUUUCUUUUUCUCAGCUUUAUGUCAGUAGAAGGCAUAAUAUCCUUCUGGCUUCCAAAGUUUCUCACUUAAAAGUUUCUGCAUUUUGGUGGAGUCUCAGCUGUUACAGCUGAGUGCAAAAGACUUGUAAGGGUAAGAGAAAGUGAGCAGUGUGUAAGAGUUGGGGAAUCCUAGAUAUUUAUCUAACAAGAUAUUCAUCUUUUGAGCAGAAAUGUUCAUGUGCAGGAAGCUUUAGCUGAAGUAAAUAAAAAGGCUUUAGGCUGUGCUCAGAUUAAGACACUAGUUCUUCACCCAGCAGUAUCAAUGCUGACAGAGCUGUGUAGCAACACAAGGAUUUGUGCUUUAUCCUGACACAGGCAGCACCAGCAGAAAGGUCAGCCAGUGGUCAUAUCAUGGAGCUGAAUGCUUUCACAGACUGAAACUUUGUGCCUCAAGGAGCACAAAGGUUUGUAAAGUAUGUGGUAUCUACUUUUGAAAUCCAGUUUUCCAAAGGCAAAA